rnacentral:lncRNA from 1 species
GAGCUUCCGGAUAGCUGAACGCAUGGAGGCUGACAGGACAGUGAAGGAGAACUCAUCCACGCGCUGGGCGAGUGGUGCACCCCAACUCCACAGGAACGGAAGCUCCUCCAGAUCUUGCCUUGUGUUAUCUUUCCAUCUGGCUAUUUAUUUGCAUCCUUUUUAAAUGUAAGUAAGUGCUUCCAUGAGUUCCGUGAGCUCCUCCAGCAAAUUAAUCAACCCCGAAGAGGGUGGGUCAUGGUAACCCCAACUUGAAGCCAGCUGGUCAGACAUUCUGGAAGCCCAGACUCGUGACUGGUGGGAAGGAGGGAGCAGUUCUGUGGAACUGAUUCCUCAACCUGUGGUUUCUGAGGCUAUUUCCAGGUAGAUGGUGUCACAGUUGAAUUAACUGGUGGACACCCGGCUGUGUCCACUGCAGAACUAAUUGCUUACUUGGUGUGUGGGAAGAAACCCCUACAUAUUUUGUCACAGAAGUCUUCUGUAUUAUUAUGGUGUAAGAGAACAGGAAAAAUGCAUGUUGACUGUUUUUUCCACACUCCCAGUCCACAAAAGUUUUCUCCACUUAUGAACAAAUAAUGUGUGUGUGUGUUUUUUUGUUUUUUUGUUUUUUUGUUUUUCCUGAGACAGGGUCUCACUCUGUCAUCCAGGCUGGGGUGCAGUGGUGUGAUCAUGGCUCACUGCAGCUUCAAUCUCCCAGGUCCAAGUGAUCCUUCUACCUCAGCCUCCCAAGUAGCUGGGACCACAGGUGUGUGCCACCAUACCCAGUUAAUUUUUAAAUUUUUUGUAGAGACAGGGUCUCCCUAUGUUGCCCAGGCUGGUUUUGAACUUCUGAAGCGAUCCUCUCACCUCAGCCUCCAAAAGUCCUGGGAUAACAGGCAUGAGCCACUGUGCCUGGCCAUGAAUACAAAGAAUUUUAACAGACACAAGAUGCAGAUAUGAAGGAAUAGAUGAAUGAAUAGACGCGUGCUGGACAGGAUGGAGUGAAGGGAUGUGUGAAAAGGUAGGAAUGAGUGGGUAAGCGGAGGAGGACAGUGCUGCUCACAGAAGUUCAUGAGCUAAAUGGUAAAGUGAGUCCUAGGCCUUUGAUGGAUACGAGGGAAAGAAGGUAUGUUACUCCCUCAGCCUUACCCAUAGGAGAAGUAAUGUGAACUGAUUUUAGGAGCAAACAGGAAACUUACCCCCAAAUCUCACUCUAGUAUACUAGAAAUCCUUUACUUUUGUAUCUUUUAACUAAGAGGGAAAUAAAUAACAUUGUCAGACCCUCAUUUCACAGAUGAGGAAACUUAGGCCUACAAAGGGCAAGUGGUUUGCCAAAAUGUAACAAGUGGGUUUGGAGCUACAAUGGGACUAGAGCUUAGGUCUCUUAAUUCCCAUUCCUUGCUCUUUUCACCACCCAAAGCUGACACUAGAAGGAAUGACUACGGUGCAGAAUUUCCAAACCCUAAUUUGAGGAAAUUCCCCAAGGGGACUUUUUCAUGCAAGCUGGAGAGCCUCAAAAAUGCAAUGAAUGCCUAGGAAGGUUCUAAGGGCCCUAAUAUUCUAACCUGAACACUAGAAAGCAGGGCAAGC